UGUUAAACUCUCAACUUUUGUGAUUUUGGUAGCUAGGAACUAGAGUUCUAGUUGGGAGAGUUAUUCUUUCAACCCUGUGAGGUUUUUUUUCCAAGCUAUCUUUGGAUUACAGUGGUGUACCCAGACGGGGGUGAACUGCGCUUUCUGCUCUCCCAGUCUUGUCCACUUUGUGAUUUCAAAUGUUGUCACCUUCUCUGUCUUCACAACUCUCUCCUUCAUGGAAUUACCUAUCCUUUACCCUCGUGCAUGCACAUACAAACAUUUGCCUUUGUACCCCUUAACUCCAGCUCUUGCUGUGGUGUGCUCAGGUGUGUAAAAUCCCCGUACAACUGGGAGUCUUUGACACCAACACUGUGGUGUGAUCUGAGAUAAGGCUGCAGGAAAUGCUUUGUGAACUGGACUAAUCUUCAAAGAAGUGAACCAUAUCUGACAACUCAACUGGGCAAAUGGCAAACUUGAGCCACUGAAUAUAUAGCGAGAAAAGGUGUUGCUUUCAAGUUUAAGCAGGGGAUGUUGGCAACUGUCUGAGAGAGUGUCCAUCUGUCUUUUCCAAACCAAUCACAAGCUUCUAACCUGAUUUCCUUGGGUCACUUUGCCGGGUUUCUGUUCUCACGACUAAAAAGCUCAGGGGUCACUCCAGAUAAACUGGGCUGACUGGGCUGCACGAAAUAACCACACAAGAGACACAAAUACCUUUUUCUUUGGGGUCGCUGUGACGGCUCCUCUGACCUUAAGGGUCCACAGAAAGAGAGAGAGUGAGAGCACAUGCUGACCCCUUUUAUUGAGGAGAAGCUAUUCAAAUGAGGCAAGGGGUCAGGUUUCAGGGGGCUGAGUCUAUCUUCAUGAUGUCCACUGUCAGCAGGUUGACUGACACCUGAGUAGGCCACACCCAAGGGCACAGUAAGAGAAGGGGACACACACAAGGAAGAUUCUAUCCUAAACAGGGCAAGGGGUUAUAUUACAAAGGAACACGUGAGCAUAGCUUCACCCAUGGGGCUGUAGCAAGACACACCCGUUUCUGUGACUGAGCGCCUCAGCACCCAGCCAGGGAGUGUGACCCAGUCACGUGUAAGGUUGGUCUCCCACAUCACUUGAGCCUU
rnacentral:lncRNA from 1 species